rnacentral:lncRNA from 1 species
AUGCACCGAGUUGUGGGGUCUCAGCUGAGCACAGCCCCCCCCCCCGAGCAGUGUGUCCCCCCCCUGCCGACGGUCCCUUGCCGCGAAGAGCCGAGCGCAACCGACUUACUGGGGCCAGAGGAAAGGUUCGGCUUCUCCAUGACGGCUGCCGUGGGGGGGGUCCGGACACCAGCGCUCGCCUGCGCCUGGGGAGAGACGGCGUUUGCUCGCGGCCGCGGCGCCCCCCCCCCCGGACCCAGCUGGGCGGCAUCGCGGGGCGCCGACGCUCACCUCCAAAAUCUGGUGGCCUUUCAUGUCCUCGAGGGAGGGGUACAGAGUUGCCAUCGCUGCUUCCCACGGCCGCACCUGGGGACGAGGCCGGGGCGUUUCGGAGCCACCCGCGAGCGGAAACCGGCCCCGAAUCGCCGCUGGGGCUGGGUCCCCCAGCGGGAGGUGCCGCCCCGGUGCCCGGGGACAGGCUGCGUCGCGGCGGGGCACCGUGCCCGGACACCGAUGCCGCGAUGCCCCACGCGGGAGCCGCGACUCAGGGCGGUGUCACGGAGCCUCCACCGCUUCCCGGCAGGUCGGGACACGGCGGCCGUGGGCGUCACGGGUGCCGCUCCCCGCGCGGGGCCCGGUUAUCCCGCCUGCCCCGUGCCAGCGCCCGGAGCGGGAGGCCCYGGGAGAAACCCUCCGUCUCGGCUCCUUGCUGGCUUUUUACCCGCUGCCGGAGCCUCCCGGAGCCCCCGCGCCACCGGUGCCCGCACGGGGCUGAGCCACCCCAUGGGGACACGGAGGGACGAGGACACGGCGGGGGCGGAAGGGACGGACAGACCCCAGGCCUCCCCAGCAUCCCGGAGCAGGAAGGCGGCUCCGGGCAGUGCCCCCCCCUCGCCGCCCCCGGCAGGACUCACCUGCAAGCAGCUCCCGGCUCCGGCGCUGCCCUUCGCCCCGAGCCCCGGGGUUUUAUCCGGGCGCAGCGGCCAGGGAGGGGCCUGGCCGGCUCAGCUGACUGCCGCCGCCUGGCUCGGGCACAGGUGA